rnacentral:SRP_RNA from 1 species
UCGUAGGCUAGGUGGGUGUUUAGCCGUCACCUGCACCACAAGUCGGCUAUAUGGUGGACUGAAGUCUAAGGGCGGUGUCAAUUGUAAUGAUAGUCUCAAUUCGGACUGUGAUGGCUCGUCUUACAGGGUUAGUAAUUUUGUGAACUGAGUCAGGGCAGGAAUGCAGCAGCUCUAAACUUUAUUGCUGACGCUUGUAAGGUUGCGAUCCUGAGGAAGAGUUGAGGUUAAACUGUUGUUGUGAUUGGCAUCCACCUUAGACGGCCUACAU